rnacentral:sRNA from 1 species
UUUUUUUAGUAUGAUUUUUGGUGUUAUGGUCGGAAAAAACACAAGUUUUAGUGCUAAAAAUGAUGUAAUUUGAACACCAAAAUGGUGUUGAGCCUUGAAGAUGCCCUUAGAAAGUAAAGAAACACUUUAAAUGAU